rnacentral:rRNA from 1 species
UACGAAGGGGGCUAGCGUUGCUCGGAAUCACUGGGCGUAAAGCGCACGUAGGCGGCUUGUUAAGUCAGGGGUGAAAUCCUGGAGCUCAACUCCAGAACUGCCUUUGAUACUGGCGAUCUCGAGUCCGGGAGAGGUGAGUGGAACUGCGAGUGUAGAGGUGAAAUUCGUAGAUAUUCGCAAGAACACCAGUGGCGAAGGCGGCCACCUGGACGGCAACUGACGCUGAGACGCGAAAGCGUGGGGAGCAAACAGG